AUUGAACGCUGGCGGCAGGCCUAACACAUGCAAGUCGAACGAGUGGCGGACGGGUGAGUAAUGUCUGGGCAACUGCCUGAUGGAGGGGGAUAACUACUGGAAACUGUAGCUGAUACCGCAUACCAUCGGAUGUGCCCAGAUGGGAUGAGCUAGUAGUGGGGGUAAAGGCUCACCUAGGCGCAGAUCCCUAGCUGGUAUGAGAGGAUGACCAGUCACACUGGAACUGAGACACGGUCCAGACUCCUACGGGAGGCAGCAGUGGGGAAUAUUGCACAAUGGGCGCAAGCCUGAUGCAGCCAUGCCGCGUGUGUGAAGAAGGCCUUCGGGUUGUAAAGCACUUUAAGCGAGGAGGCGUUACUCGCAGAAGAAGCACCGGCUAACUCCGUGCCAGCAGCCGCAGUAAUUC
rnacentral:rRNA from 1 species